GUGGUCCUGGAGUGUUCUGGAAUGUUCUUUUGGGGUGGUCCUUUGGGUGUUUCUGGAAUGUUCUGGAAUGUUCCUUUGGGGUGGUCCUGGAGUGUUCUGGAAUGUUCCUGAGGUGUUUCUGGAAUGUUCCUUGGAAGUGGUUCUGGAAUGUUCCUUUGGGGUGUUGCUGGAAUGUUCUGGAAUGUUCCUUUGGGGUGCUCCUGGAGGUGUUUCUAGAAUGUUCCUUUGGGGUGUUCCUGGAAUGUUCCUUGGAAGUGGAUCUGGAAUGUUCCUUGGGGUGGUCCUGAAGGUGUUUCUAGAAUGUUCCUUGAGAGUGUUCCUGGAAUUUUCCUGGAGGUGUUUCUGGAAUGUUCCUUGGAAUGUUCCUUUGGAAUGUUCCUUUGGGGUGUUGCUGGAAUGUUCGGGAAUGUUCCUGGAGUGGUCCUGGAGGUGUUUCUGGAAUGUUCUGAGGGUUUUGCUGGAAUGUUCCUUGGAAUGUCUUUGGGGUGUUUCUGGAAUGUUCCUGAGGGUGUUUCUGGAAUGUUCCUGGAAUGUUCCUGGGAUGUUCCUGGGGGGUGUUGCUUGAGGUGUUUCUGGAAUGUUCCUGGGAGUUUUCUUGGAAUGUUCUUGGGGGUGUUGCUGGAAUGUUCCUGAGAGUGUUCUUGGAGUGCUCCAGGAAUGUUCUUGGGGUGUUGCUGGAAUGUUCCUGGGGGCGUUUCUGGAACAUUCCUGGAACGUUCUCGGGGUGUUUUGGGGAGGUGUCGGAUGCUCAGGAGGUCCUGAAAGCACCAAGAAGGGCCCUGGGUGGUUCUAAAAUCACUGGGAUUGUGUUGUGGAAGGAGAAGAAUCCAUAAAACCACUGGAAGUUUGUCAUGGAAGAGAAAAGAGCUCCUAAAAACUCUGGGAUUUUGUGACUUCUUCCGAGUGAGAAGAGUUCCUAAAACCACUGGGAUUGCGUCAUGGAAAGGAUGAAGGCUCCUAAAACCACUGGAAAGUUCCUAAAACCACUGGGAUUGUGUCAUGGAAGGGAGGGGGGAAGAGCUCUUGAAAGGCCUGGAAUGAGCUCGUAGGAGUGGGAAAGUUCUUGAGAACCACCAAACUACAGGGUUGGAUGUCUGGGAAGGCCCUGAAAGUGACCAAAAACGGCCUGGGAGGGUCAAGUGUGGUGAGAUGUUCCUCAGAACUCUCAGGAUGUGGUGGUGGAAGUGAGAGAGUCCCUAAAAACGUUGGAACUGGGGGGCUGGGAGGUGAAAAAGAGUCGCUGGAACCACCCAGGAACGGCCUUGGAUGUCAAGAGUGGUGAGGAAAUGCCUGAAAGGACCCCACAAGGAGGUCCUGGAAGUGAGAGGUGUCCUUGGAGCAGAAUUCCCAAAAACCGCCCCCGACUGUGCCGUGGGAACGGAGAGAAUUCCUAAAGAAAUCAAAAUGUUCUUGGAGUGUACAAAAAAACCAGAGGAAUUGGGUCUUGGAAGGUGCAGGAAGUUGGUGAAAUUCUGGAAGUGCCAGAAUUCCCAUGGAAUGCUCCUGACUUGGGUUGAUGGUGAGAGAAUUCCCAAAAUUCACCCAAAUUGUGCCUUGGAGGUGCC
rnacentral:lncRNA from 1 species